AUUGAACGCUGGCGGCAGGCCUAACACAUGCAAGUCGAACGAGUGGCGGACGGGUGAGUAAUGUCUGGGAAACUGCCCGAUGGAGGGGGGUAACUACUGGAAACGGUAGCUAAUACCGCAUACCAUCGGAUGUGCCCAGAUGGGAUUAGCUAGUAGGUGGGGUAACGGCUCACCUAGGCGACGAUCCCUAGCUGGUCUGAGGGGAUCACAAGGAAGACUGGAACUGAGACACGUGCCAGACACCUACGGGAGGCAGCAGGGGGGAAUAGUGCACAAUGGGCGCAAGCCUGAGAAAGCCAUGCCGCGUGUAUGAAGAAGGCCUUCGGGUUGUAAAGUACUUUCAGCGAGGAGGCGUUACUCGCAGAAGAAGCACCGGCUAACUCCGUGCCAGCCGCCGCGGUAAUAC
rnacentral:rRNA from 1 species